GACGAGGGAUCCUAGCGUUGCUCGGAAUUAUUGGGCGUAAAGCGUGUGUAGGUGGCUUGGUAAGUCGGGUGUGAAAGCCCAGGGCUCAACCCUGGAAGUGCAUUCGAUACUACUGAGCUUGAGUGCGAGAGAGGUUAAUAGAAUACCUGGUGUAGUGGUGAAAUACGUAGAUAUCAGGUGGAACACCGGAGGCGAAGGCGGUUAACUGGCUCGACACUGACACUGAGGUGCGAAAGCGUGGGGAGCGAACAGG
rnacentral:rRNA from 1 species